AUGUCCACAGUAUGGGACAUGAAGAUGGUACCCCAGUUUUCCAGGGGCUGUGCCAACGCAGCGCAGCUCACCUUUGGGGAAGGAACUAGGCUGACCGUACUGGGUAAGGCGGGAGCCCGGGGUCCCCGGCGUUCAGCGGGCCUGGCCGGGUUUUUGCACCGGGCCCUGGAGGCGUGUACUGAAUCGCAGACCUUCGGCGCCGGCACCCGGCUGACCGUACUGGAGGACCUGAACAAGGUGGAACCGCCCAAGGUGACCGUGUUUGAGCCCUCGGAGGCAGAGGUCAACAGAACCCAGAAGGCCACUCUCGUGUGCCUGGCCACCGGUUUCUACCCGGACCACGUGGAGCUCAGCUGGUGGGUGAAUGGCAAGAAGGCCCACAGUGGGGUCAGCACGGACCCCAACCCCAAGCUGGAGCAUCCCAAUGACCAGAACUCCAAGUACUGCCUGAGCAGCCGGCUGAGGGUGGCGGCCACCUUCUGGCACAACCCGCGCAACCACUUCCGCUGCCAGGUCCAGUUCUACGGGCUCUCGGAGGGCGACGAGUGGACCCAGUCAGCCAGGGCCAAGCCCAUCACCCAGAACAUCAGUGCGGAGGCCUGGGGCCGUGCAGACUGUGGCCUCACUGCGGUGUCCUACCAACAGGGCAUCUUGUCGGCCACUGUCCUGUACGAGGUCCUGCUGGGGAAGGCAGCCCUGUAUGCUGUGCUGGUCAGCACCCUUGUGCUGGUGGCCAUGGUCAAGAGAAAGGACUCCUGA